rnacentral:rRNA from 1 species
CUUGCUCCCAUUUCUCAGCGGCGGACGGGUGAGUAACACGUGGGCAACCUGCCCUACAGACUGGGAUAACUCCGGGAAACCGGAGCUAAUACCGGGUAAUACAUAGCAUCGCAUGAUGCAACGUUGAAAGUUGGCCUUUGGCUAACACUGUAGGAUGGGCCCGCGGCGCAUUAGCUAGUUGGUAAGGUAACGGCUUACCAAGGCCACGAUGCGUAGCCGACCUGAGAGGGUGAUCGGCCCACUGGGACUGAGACACGGCCCACGACUCCUACGGGAGGCAGCAGUAGGGAAUCUUCCGCAAUGGACGAAAGUCUGACGGAGCAACGCCGCGUGAGUGACGAAGGCCUUCGGGUCGUAAAGCUCUGUUGUUAGGGAAGAACAAGUACCGUUCGAAUAGGGCGGUACCUUGACGGUACCUAACCAGAAAGCCACGGCUAACUACGUGCCAGCAGCCGCGGUAAUACGUAGGUGGCAAGCGUUGUCCGGAAUUAUUGGGCGUAAAGCGCGCGCAGGCGGUCUCUUAAGUCUGAUGUGAAAGCCCACGGCUCAACCGUGGAGGGCCAUUGGAAACUGGGGGACUUGAGUGCAGAAGAGGAGAGUGGAAUCCUCGUGUAGCGGUGAAUGCGUAGAUAUGUGGAGGAACACCAGUGGCGAAGCGGCUCUCUGGUCUGUAACUGACGCUGAAGCGCGAAAGCGUGGGGAGCGAACAGGAUUAGAUACCCUGGUAGUCCACGCCGUACACGAUGAGUGCUAGUGUUGGGGCUUCACCUCAGUGCUGAGUUACACAUUAGCACUCC